UACAGAGGUCCCGAGCGUUGUUCGGAUUCACUGGGCGUAAAGGGUGCGUAGGUGGUGAGGUAAGUCGGAUGUGAAAUCUCCGGGCUCAACCCGGAAAUGGCAUUGGAAACUACCUUGCUGGAGGAUUUGAGGGGGGAUUGGAAUACUUGGUGUAGCAGUGAAAUGCGUAGAUAUCAAGUGGAACACCAGUGGCGAAGGCGAAUCCCUGGAAAAUACCUGACACUGAGGCACAAAAGCUAGGGGAGCAAACAGG
rnacentral:rRNA from 1 species